rnacentral:rRNA from 1 species
AUGGAACAAUGUAGGCAAGGGAAGUCAGCAAAACGGAUCCGUAACUUCAGGAAAAGGAUUGGCUCUGAGGAAUGGGCUCGGGGGUCCCGGCCCACCCGUCGGCUGUCGACGGAUUGCUCGAGCUGCUCACGCGGCGAGAGCGGGUCGCCGCGUGCCGGCCGGGGAUGGACCGGGAAUCGCCCCUUCGGCGGUCAUUCCCCGAGCAUGAAACAGUCGACUCGGAACUGGUACGGACAAGGGGAAUCCAACUGUUUAAUUAAAACAAAGCAUUGCGAUGGUCCUCGCGGAUGCUGA